rnacentral:rRNA from 1 species
GACGAACCGUCCAACCGUUAUUCGGAAUUACUGGGCGUAAAGGGCGCGUAGGCGGCGCGGUAAGUCACUUGUGAAAUCUCUGAGCUUAACUCAGAACGGCCAAGUGAUACUGCAGUGCUAGAGUGUGGAAGGGGCAAUCGGAAUUCUUGGUGUAGCGGUGAAAUGCGUAGAUAUCAAGAGGAACACCUGAGGUGAAGACGGGUUGCUGGGCCAACACUGACGCUGAUGCGCGAAAGCCAGGGGAGCAAACGGG